GAGUUUGAUCUUGGCUCAGGACGAACGCUGGCGGCGUGCUUAACACAUGCAAGUCGUACGAGAAAGUUCCCUUCGGGGAUGAGUACAGUGGCGCACGGGUGAGUAACGCGUAAGUAAUCUGCCCCUUGGUCUGGCAUAACUCCGGGAAACCGGGGCUAAUAGCAGAUGAUAUCGUAAGAUCAAAGCCUUCGGGCGCCAAGGGAUGAGCUUGCGUCCCAUUAGCUAGUUGGCGGGGUAACAGCCCACCAAGGCGACGAUGGGUAGCUGGUCUGAGAGGAUGAUCAGCCACAUUGGGACUGAGAUACGGCCCAGACUCCUACGGGAGGCAGCAGUGAGGAAUAUUGCGCAAUGGACGAAAGUCUGACGCAGCAACGCCGCGUGCGGGAUGACGGCCCUCUCGGGUUGUAAACUGCUGUAGCAGGGGAAUAAUACCCGCCUCGGGCGGGUUGAAGGUACCCUGAAGUAAGCUCCGGCUAACUACGUGCCAGCAGCCGCCGUAAG
rnacentral:rRNA from 1 species